CUUACCACAAGAAGUAUAAAGAGAUAUUCCCUGGAUUACAAGGUUCAUCAAGGAGGAAGAAAAAAACUCCCUGUCAUCCUUCAACAUCCACACCAGUCGGCCACCUGAUCGAUCUUUGACCUGCCAGUGAACUCCAGACAAUAAAGCAAAGGACCCCUUAAGCCUUCCUGCUAAUUCUGAUAACUGGGUUGAAACUGACUAAGUGCCUCUUGCUACAGAGAAUUGGCCAAUAUUGGCAACUUAAUUAAAACUAAGGAAAAUCCCCUGAA